UAUCCUUAAACAUCACAGUCCAAGUUAACACUGUGUUCACCAAGCCGUUUUUUACCCCGGUUAUCAUCCCCAGGUGGUCCUUUGACCCAUGGUCUUUUAAGAAAUCGGCCUUCACCUCAUACUUCCAACGAUGCCUUACUCAUUGUAGUAGUAGAACUCUCUUUACAGCCGAGCUCAACAGAGUAUACAAGAUUGGCCUUAAACACGGUUAUAGCCGCAAGUUUAUGAAUAAGCAUUUUAACAAAGUCAAAAAGGAUUACCAGAACAACCAUGUUGACCAACAACACUUCAAUCCUUCCCCGCAAACGGCGUCUAACCCUGUUACACACACCCGAUUCCCGCUACCCUAUAGGGUGAAUAAAAUUAACACCAUCAAUUCUGUCCUACGAUCUCAGGGUAAGAAAAAAGCAUAUAACAGGGCACCUACCAUCUUCAAUCUACUGCGUAAUGAUAAAUCAAGGAGAUGCCAU
rnacentral:lncRNA from 1 species